rnacentral:lncRNA from 1 species
AUGGCGCCGGAAUCCAUCAACUUCCGGCGCUUCACCACGGCCAGCGACGUCUGGAUGUUCGGUGAGGGGCGGGAUUCCGGGAUUCUGGAUCGGGUGGGAUCUUGGGAUUCAGAGUUGGGGGAUUUUGGGAUUCAGCAUUGGGGGAUUGCGGGAAUGGGGCGGGAUUCCGGGAUUCUGAAUCGUGUGGGAUCUUGGGAUUCAGAAUUGGGGAAAUCUGAGAUUCAGAAUUGUGGGAUCCUGGGAUUCAGAGUUGGGGGAUUCCAGGAUUCAGAAUUGUGGGAUUUUGGGAUUCAGAAUUGGGGGAUUCUGGGAUUCAGAAUUGGGGGAUUCCGGGAUUCUGGAUCGUGUGGGAUUUUGGGAUUCAGAGUUGGGGGAUUUUGGGAUUCAGAGUUGUGGGAUUCUGGGAUUCAGAAUUGGGGGAUUUUGGGAUUCAGAGUUGGGGGAUUUUGGGAUUCAGAAUUGUGGGAUUCUGGGAUUCAGGGUUGUGGGAUCCUGGGAUUCAGAAUAUUGGGAUUCUUGGAUUCAGCGUUGGGGGAUUCUGGGAUUCAGAACUGUGGGAUUCUGGGAUUCAGAAUUUUGGGAUUCUUGGAUUCAGAAUUGGGGGAUUCUGGGAUUCAGAAUCAUGGGAUCCUGGGAUUUGUCAUAAUGUGGUGGGAUUCUGGGAUUCAGCUUUGUGGGGUGGGAUCCUGGGAUUCAGAACUGUGGGAUCUUGGGAUUCAGAGUUGGGGGAUUUUGGGAUUCAGAAUAAUGGGAUUCUGGGAUUCAGAGUUGUGGGAUUCUGGGAUUCAAAAUUGGGGGAAUCUGGGAUUCAGAAUUGUGGGAUUCUGGGAUUCAGAGUUGUGGGAUCUUGGGAUUCAGAAUUGGGGGAUUUUGGGAUUCAGAAUUGGGGGAUUCUGGGGUUCAGAAUUGGGGGAUUUUGGGAUUCGGAAUUGGGGGAUCCUGGGAUUUGGAACUGUGGGAUCCUGGGAUAUAGAAUUGGGGGAUUCUGGGAUUCAGCGUUGGGGGAUUCUGGGAUUCAGAACUGUGGGAUUCUGGGAUUCAGCGUUGUGGGAUCUUGGGAUUCAGAACUGUGGGAUCCUAGGAUUCAGAGUUGUGGGAUCUUGGGAUUCAGAGUUGUGGGAUUCUUGGGAUUCAGAAUGGGGGGAUUUUGGGAUUCAGAAUUGGGGGAUCCUGGGAUUCAGAAUUGGGGGAUGCUGGGAUUCAGAAUUGUGGGAUUCUGGGAUUCAGAAUUGA